GUUGAAUUAAAUUACAAUCCUAUACUUUAUAGUCAAUCUAGUCGUGGAUUUUCACUGAGGUCGGUUGACAUGUAGUCCGAGCUCUGUCGAUUCGAACUCCUUCAAGAAUACGCCUGUUAUGUAAAAUUAAGUCAUGCUCAAAUGAAUUCCCUUCAAUGCCAAUGGCUUAUAAUAAUCACUAUACCAAUAUUUUAAAGCAACCAUUAGCUAUAAACAUCUGGCUUGAUAUAUCAUUUCAGCGUUC